CUCUAUGAUAUUGCUUUGUCUUGCUUUAUAUUAUAUGGGAAAAGUAGAAGCAGAAAUUACUUUCCUUUGCAUUUCUAAUGCAAUACUGUGGUCUAUAGCCAGGAGGUUAGUGUAGCAGGAUGACUUGCUAAUUUCCAGAAACCAAAGUGAAGAAUGGGCUAACUCAGAGAUUCAAAGUAGCCUUGGGAUGAUUUUUCAAACCCUCAGUCCAAGAAGAAUGACAGAGAUUGAGCCCACAUAAACCUGGUUGACAGAAAGCUGCCCAUAGUGUAGGUGGUUAAUUUUGUACAACUGAACUUAGAGCUUAGGAUAGGAACAUCUGACUCCAAAAAGGGGCUGACCAGUUGAAAAAGUCCACAGUCCUUACAAAUCUCAGAGAUUUGACCAGGGAAGCAGAAAGCGGAUUUAGCUUGGCAUGUGAAGCUGCCGAAUGAAAACAUUUCAAGUAUGCAAACUAGACUUGUUUUUUCCCCCCUGAAAAGGACUAAUAUGGAAAUCUCAGCUCAUAGAGACCCCUCCGGAAGUUCUUCACAUUACUAGAAGUGAGUGUCAAAGAACUGGCUAUUCAAGAGAGUGUUGGAGAUUCUGGCAAGCAGAGAUUCUUCGGAGCCCAGGUGGAAAGUGAAGCGCUGAGUUGGGGAGAAAUGCUCAUGCCUUCUGCAGACUGUAAGUUUUGGGAGCUUCUGGAGGCAACUCCCUUGGCAGGCGUGUUGGAGUUCUCCGGGCCAGCAGUGCCA
rnacentral:lncRNA from 1 species